rnacentral:rRNA from 1 species
UACGAAGGGGGGCUAGCGUUGUUCGGAAUUACUGGGCGUAAAGCGCACGUAGGCGGACAUUUUAAGUUGGAGGUGAAAGCCUUGGGCUCAACCCAAGAAUUGCCUUUGAUACUGGAUGUCUCGAGACCGGGGAGGAGGUGAGUGGCAAUUCCGAGUGUAGAGGUAGUAAAUUCGUAGAUUAGUUACGGAAAGAACCACCAGGUGGCAGGAAGGGCGGCUCACUGGCCCCGGGUUCUGACGCUGAGGUGCGAAAGCGUGGGGGAGCAAACAGG